GAGUUUGAUCCUGGCUCAGGAUGAACGCUGGCGGCGUGCCUAACACAUGCAAGUUGAGCGAUUUACUUCGGUAAAGAGCGGCGGACGGGUGAGUAACGCGUGGGUAACCUACCCUGUACACACGGAUAACAUACCGAAAGGUAUGCUAAUACGGGAUAAUAUAUUUGAGAGGCAUCUCUUAAAUAUCAAAGGUGAGCCAGUACAGGAUGGACCCGCGUCUGAUUAGCUAGUUGGUAAGGUAACGGCUUACCAAGGCGACGAUCAGUAGCCGACCUGAGAGGGUGAUCGGCCACAUUGGAACUGAGACACGGUCCAAACUCCUACGGGAGGCAGCAGUGGGGAAUAUUGCACAAUGGGCGAAAGCCUGAUGCAGCAACGCCGCGUGAGUGAUGAAGGCCUUCGGGUCGUAAAACUCUGUCCUCAAGGAAGAUAAUGACGGUACUUGAGGAGGAAGCCCCGGCUAACUACGUGCCAGCAGCCGCGGU
rnacentral:rRNA from 1 species